UGAAUCUGUUGAUACCAGGCCAGUGAAGU
rnacentral:piRNA from 1 species